rnacentral:lncRNA from 1 species
GAGAAAGGGCUUAAGACCCUGAAAAAAAAAAUUUAUAGGAAAAUUUCCCCAAAAGGUAAGCACAAUAAAAAGUCAAAAGGAGGUACGGGCUGAAGAAUGACUUCCUGCAAUGUGUAAUUUCAAGAAUUAGAGUUUGUCAAAGGUGUUAAAAAUAAAAUGAGUGUGAAUGUCCUACAAGGUUUAUGAGAAAGUUCAGAAGGAAAGUAAAGAAAGACUAAGCAGCAAGACUUUUAGUAUUCCUGUAUCCUGGAGAAGGCAGCACUCGAGCCACCAUCUUGGAAGUGAAGAUCAGGCCCUCAGCAGACACAAAACCUGCCAGUGCCAUGAUCUUGGAUUUUUCAACCUGCAGGACUAUUCAAUGAAAUUCCAAUGAAAAUCUCAAGUUAUUAUGUGAAUAUUGAAAAACGAACCCUAAAGUUUAUAUGGAGAGCCAAAAAAUGCAAAAGAGCCAGCACAUAUUGAAAGAGAAGAACAAAGUCAGAAGAU